rnacentral:rRNA from 1 species
GUGGGGAAUAUUGGACAAUGGGGGGAACCCUGAUCCAGCCAUGCUGCGUGUGUGAAGAAGGCCUUUUGAUUGUAAAGCACUUUAAGUGGGGAGGAGGCUUACCUGGUUAAUACCUGGGCUAAGUGGACGUUACCCACAGAAUAAGCACCGGCUAACUCUGUGCCAGCAGCCGCGGUAAUACAGAGGGUGCGAGCGUUAAUCGGAUUUACUGGGCGUAAAGCGCGCGUAGGUGGUUAAUUAAGUCAAAUGUGAAAUCCCCGAGCUUAACUUGGGAAUUGCAUUCGAUACUGGUUGGCUAGAGUAUGGGAGAGGAUGGUAGAAUUCCAGGUGUAGCGGUGAAAUGCGUAGAGAUCUGGAGGAAUACCGAUGGCGAAGGCAGCCAUCUGGCCUAAUACUGACGCUGAGGUACGAAAGCAUGGGGAGCAAACAGGAUUAGAUACCCGAGUAGUCC